rnacentral:tRNA from 1 species
GGUGGCUCAGUGGCAGAGCGCUUGCUUUGCAUGCAUGAAGCCCUAGGUUCAAUUCCUCAGCACCA